GGCAUGCUAUACAUAUAGUUCAUGUAGUUUAGGAUCCUUUAUUAAACUUUGCAUGUGUGGCCAUGUCUUCGCGGAUACUUCGUGUAGCCAGCCAUCUUUUUUCCUUUGGAAAACUCGAAAAUGAACAGUUUUGAGUGGCGUCCCUACACAAGAACUGUGACAAACUGGAAGUUUCCUAAGUUUUACCCCGAGAAAGUGAUGUGUGUUACUGUUUUUCCGAGUCUUGAUGAAGAAUUUAUCUCCUUUGCUCGAUGCAUCAAAGUUUCUGAGCUUGUUGGCAUUAAGAAAGUGGAGCGUUACUUCCCAAAUAGAGUGGCUACACAGUUUGGAAUGCUUCAGGAUAUUCCUUCUUCUGUUGACAAGAACAACCUCUCACGGGAGGCAGCUUGGAAUGAUUACAAUAAGCCUAUUAAUGAUUUGGCAUUAAACAUUCCUUCCCGUUCUACAAUAUCUCGUGUUAGUACUCCGACGUUUUUCGAGUGAUGAGUGUUCUCCUUAUUAUUUCUUUUCAUGGCUAUUAGUUUUUUUUUUUUGUUAAAGAAAAUGAAGCGAAAAUUGAUCGAAAGGAUUGCUAGUGAUGUUUCAGAAAAACUCAAUGUUACACCGUCUAGGGAUUUUGAUGGCAUGGUUUGGCUAGAAAGCAAUUUUGAGUGAAAUGGAGUCUUUGCUAGAUUUAGAGAAUGAUGGAGUUAAGAUGGUUGGAAUCUCUGGUCCUACAGGCAUUGAUAAAAGUACAAUUGCCAAAGCUUUACAUAGUCGACUUUUAAAUAGGUUUCCGCAUACUUGUUUGAUGAACAACCUUAGGGGAAGCUAUCAUACGGGAUUUGAUGAGUAUGGUGUGAAGUUGCGCUGUCAAGAGCAGCUUCUUUCAAAGGUUCUGAACCUAAAUGGCAUUAGGAUAUUCCAUUUAGGUACGAUACAAGACAGACUACAUGAUCAGAAGGUUCUUACCAUUCUUGACGAUGUGGAGCUUCUAAAACAUGAGGCUUCAGUUGAUAUUAGGUGGUUUGGUGCUGGAAGUAGGGUCAUAGUGACCACUGAAAACAAAGAGAUUUUGUAGCAACAUGGUUUAUGGAUCUUGCGGAUGAAGUUGCAAGGAUUUGUGGCAAUCUUCUGUUGGGUCUUCAUGUCUUAGGGUCGUCGUUGCGAGGAAAGAGCCAGGCUGACUGGAAAGAUGAACUACCGCGGUUAAAAUAUUGUAUUGAUGGAAGAAUCGAGAGUGCGUUGAAAGUGGGCUAUGAAAGUUUACAUGAGAAAGACCAAGCUCUGUUUCUCCACAUUGCAGCCUUCUUCAAUUAUGGACAUUUUGAUCUUAUGACAGCCAUGCUAGCAAAAAUUAACUUGGAUGUUAGACUUGGGCUGAAAAUCUUAGCCAUUAAACAUCUCAUACAUAUAAAUUACGAUAGAGUGGUAAUGCACCGUUUGCUACAAGUAAUGGCUCCAAAAGUCAUUUCCAAACAAGAGCCUUGGAAACGCUAAAUUGUAAGUUUUCUGUUUGGGGGAUUUGCAUACCAUGUUUAUUUGUUGAUGUUUAAGCAUAUCAUCUAACCACUAACACCUUUAAUUUGGAAUAAUUAGUAAUGGAUCAACCAAAGGUAUAUCAUUUGACAUAGCAGACAUCGACGAAUUGAUGAUAAGCCAAAGGGCUUUUGAAAGAAUGUGCAAUCUUUUAUUUCUGAAAGUCUACCAUAGGUUCGAAUUCAGCAGUGUUUCCAAGAUUUCUUGAAGGAAGAAACAGACGGAAACAACAAUGUGGGAUCUGAAGAUGAAGAUAACAACAAUAAUCUAUGGGAUACACAUGAAACCGAUGAAUCGUCAGACAAAGAACAAGACGACGAUGAUAGUAUGGCUAGCAGGAGAUCUAAAUCUGAAUCGUGCAAAGCAUCCGACAAAGAAGACGAUGAAGCGUCCAAAGAAAAAGAUGAGGAUACCAUCGAUGACGGUGAAUCCGUAUCAAGGAAGCGCCUGAGGAAGACGACUACAAUUCUGAAGAGGGAAAUUCAAAAACGACGUUUAAAGAGAAAAAUGAGUUAUAAUCUGUCUUCAAGAAGUUUCCGUGCGCAUUGCAUUAUUGGAGCUUCCGAGCAGAAGAAAGCCAACUCCAUCGAAAGUCGAAACAUGCUUAGGAUUCAGCAGUUGAUGAGUUUGUGAUAUCCUCCAUGCAUUAGAUAUUUUGUAGAGACAAGUGAAGAAGAAGACUAAGAGUCGCCUCUAAAUGUUGGCGCGAGUCUUUAUCGAAGUUUAGCAUAUCUAGAAGAUCAGAAAAUUAUUUAUGGUUAUUGAUCCACACGACAUUUAGUAGCCGUAUGAGAGUAGACUGAUCAGUUGGUGUAACAUUGAUGCCACAAGAUAUAGAGACUGUUUACUUGUUUUCUUGAUUAUCAAUUUUUCUUUCUCAAGAUUAACUUUGUUUGGUAUAGGAGAAAAGCUGAAAAAGCUAGAGAAAGAGAAUUGGCAUCAAUAUUAUUGUAUGCACUUUGUUAUACGUCACAGGUACAAACUUUUAUCUUUGAAGUACAUUGGUCUUUCUCAAAGAAACCGAUACUUUAAUUUUCUUAUCUUUUUUACGUGGUGAAGUAAAAGAAACAGACAGUGUUUAAAGAAUUAGAGAAUUUACGGUGAA